CUCCAUUCUGUUCCCUGAUCUCUCCUUGCUUCACCCACCUCAAAGGAAAAGGUAGGAAGUCUCAGCCACCUUGUUGUUGGGUGACCUUUCUGAAUGCAACUUUGUUACCUUUCAGAACCUCAGUGUCUUUACACAGAAGAAUGUAUCUAGGACAGCGGUCACAGGAGUCCAUGAAAUGCGUUCAUCACAUGCCUGGUACUCCAUGUGGACUUUCUGGUUGCAGAAUUCUAGACUGCCAGUUCUGAUCAUCGAUGAGCAAUUACUGAGCUUCGCUAAGUGGACCUGCGCCAGGUGCUGGAGACACAGGAAUAAAGGAUUUGGGUAAACCCUGCAGUUACCGUGAAGCAUUGAAGAGUAUAGUUAUCAAAGAUAGAGCUGCUCCAUGCUGGUAGUAUGCAAGGAGAGUACAUGUGCCGGUCAGAGAGAGAGAACUGGGUGUAUGGCUAAGACUGGUCAGUGAGAACGACUCAUGCCAAGAUCUUCCGAGGGACUGAUGAGCAUCUGAGGCUGAUGGAAGAUGUCUUAUCUCUUUAUGGUACUAAAAGCAAGUCUGAUGUGGAAGCAGGAGAACUAAGGGGGGUAUUCAGAGACUCAGCUUUAACAAUACAUCGGAACUGCUGGAUCCAGCCGUACCUGAAGCAGAACUCCCCAUUUUUCAUUUAGCUCACUUUGAAAGCCUUUCUUUUUCUCCUAUCUCCCUUCUACCAAAAGACACAGCAAAGGUACGGAUAUAGCCAAGAGAUGUUCGGUGGAUUCUGCUGGGAGGAAGGGAGAAGAUGUGAGCUAGAUGACCUUCAAACGCCCUUCCGGUGAAAGCGUGUUUGAGUGGGGCAUUGAAGGGCCUGAAUUGGCAGUUGUUCCAGAUUAUGGCACAGAGCAGCCAUGCAAGCAGGGCCCCAGCAUGCCUCCCACUCCUGUUUCCACCCGGGAGCACUUCCUGGGUAAGCCCCUCUCCUGCAGCCAGCGAGGCCUGAGGAGUGUGGCCUCAAGCCAGGGUGGAGGUCAGCUUGGCCACCAGACCAGAGGGACCUAAGUGAGCUCCAAGGUCCCCCUCGGAGGCUGCUGCUGGCACUCAUCUCCUUCCCCUGGGCCCUCUCAGCUGUUCAGCUGUGGCGGACCCCCAGGUCCUCCUUCAGCACAUUCUCCAUGUGGCAACCAGGCAACUUGCUCCUGGCCCCCACUGCCCUUGGAUAAGGG
rnacentral:lncRNA from 1 species